rnacentral:lncRNA from 10 species
CAGCGUUGUUAGGAGGGGGAGACACCAGAGCACCAACUUCUCUCACUUAAACCUUAUGACAACCUUAAGAAGUAGGCAGCAUGAUCCCCUUCUUGGAAAUGCAGAAAGAGAGAAUGGGGGAGAUUGAGAGGCUUGCAGAAUGUGACAUCAUUAGGGAGAACAGUGGUUGAGGUCCAGCAGCUCCUGCAGAUGGGUGGUGGUGGAAGGAGGAGAGAAUGGGCCACAGGCAGGCCAAGGGCAAGCUUAGCAGCACUCAACAUCCUCCAUGAACUCAACAGAAGUCAAGAAUGCAGGCAGCUCAUGAUGAAGACCUGCAGCGGCCCAGGUUUACCAAGCUCAUUCACAAUUGCAGUUGGAGAAUUCGUCUUUGGUCAUUUUCUACUUUGGAAAUACGGUACAACUGGUCAGGGAGAACCAAUGGCAGACAUGUGCUAUAUCCCAACACACCUUGACUCUUGCUCUCACCGGAAGCUCAGCUUAGGGAAAGGAGAUCUUAAUAGGAGACAGAAGACCCGGACGCUGGUUUUGAUUGUGCCCUUCUCCAGCUGUGUGGCCUUGAGCAGGAUAUUUUUUACAUAAAGCAUACUGCAUGGGUGUCCUACUGGUGAUGGAAAAAGAAAUGAAAGCAUCUCUCAAAAGGGUCAAACCAAGGCCAGGUUUUAUUUGGUGUUUGAGAAAACCUGGAUUAUUUGGGUCAGGAGAAAAUUUUGGACUUCCUGCUAAUCACAGGAUUUCAACAGCAAGCGUCUUCAAAUCAUGUGUGACAUCCCCUGGCUGAUAAGAGCCUUCCCACCUCAUCUCAAGGAAGGCAACACCUUUCAUAACUACUAGAAUGACUACACUUGCCUCACUAAAUUGUAGUUGUUGAACCACAAACUUGAUUCCUACUUCUGUAAAAAUAAAUCAGAAUUAAAAUGAUUAAGAUAUGGAAUUGAGCCUCCAUGAGGUUUCAGCAGGCAUCCAUAACCUACAGGGUUAUGACAGUCAUAUUUUCUGAAUCCCAAAUCAGGACAUGGGACCAUGGAAAUAGAGAAGACCAUCAAGCAGAACGUUUGACUUCAGUUCUGUCGUGAAGAUUCUGGGUUUUCAAUCCUUCUAACUACAGUACUAGAUGACAAAGAUGAUUUAUUGCACAUUAAGCACUCAUGAGUGCUCUAUUAACCUCAUUCCUUGGAAUGAUUGUUUUAAAACAACUUUCCAUUUUUGCUAUUAAAAUACCUACUACUUGGGAGACUGAGGCAGGAGAAUCACUUGAACCCGGGAGGUGGAGGCUGCAGUGAGCCGAGACUGCACCACUGCACUCCAGACUGGGCAACAGAGUGAGACUCUGUCUCAAAAAAAAAAAAAGUAAUGCAUAUUAAUUGAAGAAAAUAUAGACAUGGAAAGGAAAGAAAAUCAUCCAUCCAUAAUUUCACAACCCAGAGAUAACAACCACUAACAGCUUAAUAAAUAGCAUUUCAACUUUUUUGUGUGUAUAUUUAUAUAUUUU